AAGUUCAGCAAUUCUAUAGUCCCCAUCCUGAUAUCAUUCUCAGUUUGUCCAGCUAUUAAUAAAUCAUCUACAUAUUAUAACUAGAUUUCCCAAUUAAUGU